rnacentral:rRNA from 1 species
CCCUGCCAUUUGUACACACCGCCCGUCGAUACUACCGAUUGAAUGGCCAAGUGAGGCCUUCGGACGUGCCGCUGUUGCCGCAAGGCGAUUGCUGGCGCCAAAGUUGGACAAACUUGGUCAUUUAGAGG